UACAGAGGUCUCAACCGUUGUUCGGAUUCAUUGGGCGUAAAGGGUGCGUAGGCGGUCGCGCAAGUCGGAUGUGAAAUCUUAGGGCUCAACCCUGAAACUGCAUUCGAUACUGCGUGGCUAGAGUACUGGAGAGGAGACUGGAAUUUACGGUGUAGCAGUGAAAUGCGUAGAUAUCGUAAGGAAGACCAGUGGCGAAGGCGAGUCUCUGGACAGUUGCUGACACUGAGGCGCGACAGCGUGGGGAGCAAACAGG
rnacentral:rRNA from 1 species